UACGUAGGCAGCGGAGCGUUGUUCGGAGUUACUGGGCGUAAGCGUGCGUAGGCGGUGUCUUAAGUUUGUUGUGAAAUCUCCCGGCUUAACCGGGAGGGUGCGGCGAAUACUGAGAUGCUGGAGUGCGGGAGGGGUAAGCGGAAUUCCCGGUGUAGCGGUGAAAUGCGUAGAUAUACGGGAGGAACACCUGCGGUGUAGACGGCUUACUGGACCGUAACUGACGCUGAGGCACGAAAGCGUGGGUAGCAAACAGG
rnacentral:rRNA from 1 species